UUGAAAUACCGGUUCCCGUACAAUCACCUCAGUUAAGCAAAGUCGAGCUUUAUUAGUACCUAGAUGGGUAACAGUUUAGGAAUAUCAGGUGCUGUG